UACAGGCUUAACACAUGCAAGUCGAGGGGCAGCAUGGUCUUAGCUUGCUAAGGCCGAUGGCGACCGGCGCACGGGUGAGUAACACGUAUCCAACCUGCCGUCUACUCUUGGACAGCCUUCUGAAAGGAAGAUUAAUACAAGAUGGCAUCAUGAGUCCGCAUGUUCACAUGAUUAAAGGUAUUCCGGUAGACGAUGGGGAUGCGUUCCAUUAGAUAGUAGGCGGGGUAACGGCCCACCUAGUCUUCGAUGGAUAGGGGUUCUGAGAGGAAGGUCCCCCACAUUGGAACUGAGACACGGUCCAAACUCCUACGGGGGGCAGCAGUGAGGAAUAUUGGUCAAUGGGCGAGAGCCUGAACCAGCCAAGUAGCGUGAAGGAUGACUGCCCUAUGGGUUGUAAACUUCUUUUAUAAAGGAAUAAAGUCGGGUAUGGAUACCCGUUUGCAUGUACUUUAUGAAUAAGGAUCGGCUAACUCCGUGCCAGCAGCCGCGGUAAUACGGAGGAUCCGAGCGUUAUCCGGAUUUAUUGGGUUUAAAGGGAGCGUAGAUGGAUGUUUAAGUCAGUUGUGAAAGUUUGCGGCUCAACCGUAAAAUUGCAGUUGAUACUGGAUAUCUUGAGUGCAGUUGAGGCAGGCGGAAUUCGUGGUGUAGCGGUGAAAUGCUUAGAUAUCACGAAGAACUCCGAUUGCGAAGGCAGCCUGCUAAGCUGCAACUGACAUUGAGGCUCGAAAGUGUGGGUAUCAAACAGGAUUAGAUACCCUGGUAGUCCACACGGUAAACGAUGAAUACUCGCUGUUUGCGAUAUACUGCAAGCGGCCAAGCGAAAGCGUUAAGUAUUCCACCUGGGGAGUACGCCGGCAACGGUGAAACUCAAAGGAAUUGACGGGGGCCCGCACAAGCGGAGGAACAUGUGGUUUAAUUCGAUGAUACGCGAGGAACCUUACCCGGGCUUAAAUUGCAGAUGAAUUACGGUGAAAGCCGUAAGCCGCAAGGCAUCUGUGAAGGUGCUGCAUGGUUGUCGUCAGCUCGUGCCGUGAGGUGUCGGCUUAAGUGCCAUAACGAGCGCAACCCUUGUUGUCAGUUACUAACAGGUUCCGCUGAGGACUCUGACAAGACUGCCAUCGUAAGAUGUGAGGAAGGUGGGGAUGACGUCAAAUCAGCACGGCCCUUACGUCCGGGGCUACACACGUGUUACAAUGGGGGGUACAGAGGGCCGCUACCACGCGAGUGGAUGCCAAUCCCCAAAACCUCUCUCAGUUCGGACUGGAGUCUGCAACCCGACUCCACGAAGCUGGAUUCGCUAGUAAUCGCGCAUCAGCCACGGCGCGGUGAAUACGUUCCCGGGCCUUGUACACACCGCCCGUCAAGCCAUGGGAGCCGGGGGUACCUGAAGUGCGUAACCGCGAGGAGCGCCCUAGGGUAAAACUGGUGACUGGGGCUAAGUCAUA
rnacentral:rRNA from 1 species